UACGAAGGGGGCGAGCGUUGUUCGGAGUUACUGGGCGUAAAGGGCGCGUAGGCGGCGCGCCAAGUUAGGCGUGAAAGCCCCGGGCUCAACCUGGGAAUAGCGCUUAAGACUGGAGUGCUCGAGUGCGGAAGAGGUGAGUGGAAUUCCCAGUGUAGAGGUGAAAUUCGUAGAUAUUGGGAAGAACACCAGUGGCGAAGGCGGCUCACUGGUCCGCAACUGACGCUGAGGCGCGAAAGCGUGGGGAGCAAACAGG
rnacentral:rRNA from 1 species